AGAAGCUCAAAUUAUAAGGUUAAAUUAAGAAGCUCAAAUUAAUUUGUAACAUGCUUUUAUAAUUUUAUCAGAUAUAUCGAAGCAAAAUGGAAAAGAACCCCACGGCUCCAGAAAAGAAUGUUAUGGAAUAUAAGCAGAGCAAAUCUUGUACAUAUACGGUAUUAGUCCAUAUACGUUUAUUUGAUUAACAUAGCAUAACACCCCGUACAAAUUAAGAUCAGGAUUUCACUUUUCACUACUACAAAACAUACAUGAUAUAGCAAACCAGCAUUUUAUUUUAGUAGAACGAUAGCAUUUGUGCAUGCUUAGCAACGUCCGCCAUGGCCGCCAUGCGAGCCACCACCAUGGUGACCAGGACCGCCUGCUGGAGGACCAUGGUGACCCGGACCACCUGCUGGAGGUCCAUGCUGACCCGGACCACCUGCUGGAGGUCCAUGGCCCCCCUCCGGGCCACAACCAUGACCAGGACCGCCUGCUGGAGGUCCAUGUUGGCCCGGACCACCUGGAGGAGGUCCAUGCUGACCGGGACCACCUGCUGGAGGUCCAUGGUGUCCACCGUGGUCGCCGCCCGGGCCACCUACUGGAUGUCCAUCAUGGCCUGGUGGAGGUCCUUGGGGACAGGGAGGAGGCGGAGCCUGAUGCUGAUGAAUCCCUGGUGGUGGAGGUCCGUGAGGAUGAUCGUGCAUCUUAUCUGCUGUUGUAGUUGGUAUCGUUCUCUGCUUUGCUUCUUGCUGGUGCGGUGAAACGGUUUGAGAGGACUAUUGGAUUUAUAGUAGUGCGGUCCUUGUUUUCAUUAUUUUUUGGCCAGAAUGGUCCCAGACUUGCAGAUAAGGUUAUUACCAUGAGAACUUUGGUCGGAGGUUGUUUAAUGCAUACCUUACACGUUGUUGACGUGACCAUUUGUUGGGAUAUUUCCAUUGGUAUGUGGUUGUUAUUCUCCAUUGACAUGAUGAGGCCAACAACCUUAUCUUUC
rnacentral:lncRNA from 1 species